GACGAACGCUGGCGGCGUGCUUAACACAUGCAAGUCGAACGGAAAGGCCCUUCGGGGUACUCGAGUGGCGAACGGGUGAGUAACACGUGGGUGAUCUGCCCUGCACUUUGGGAUAAGCCUGGGAAACUGGGUCUAAUACCGAAUCGGACCGCGCGCUUCAUGGUGUGUGGUGGAAAGCUUUUGCGGUGUGGGAUGGGCCCGCGGCCUAUCAGCUUGUUGGUGGGGUAAUGGCCUACCAAGGCGACGACGGGUAGCCGGCCUGAGUGGGUGACCGGCCACACUGGGACUGAGAUACGGCCCAGACUCCUACGGGAGGCAGCAGUGGGGAAUAUUGCACAAUGGGCGCAAGCCUGAUGCAGCGACGCCGCGUGAGGGAUGACGGCCUUCGGGUUGUAAACCUCUUUCACCAGGGACGAAGCGCAAGUGACGGUACCUGGAGAAGAAGCACCGGCCAACUACGUG
rnacentral:rRNA from 1 species